rnacentral:miRNA from 1 species
UCACCUGGGGACCUGGUUAAAAUGCAGAUCCUCACUCUCGGCUGGGGCUGAGAUUCUGCAUUUCUAACAAGUUCCAAGGUGCUGC